rnacentral:rRNA from 1 species
GUCAGAGGUGAAAUUCUUGGAUUUAUGGAAGACGAACAGUUGCGAAAGCGUUUGGCAAGGAUAUUCCCAUUGAUCAAGGACGAAAGUUAGGGGAUCGAAGACGAUUAGAUACCGUCGUAGUCUUAACCAUAAACGUUGCCAUCUUAAAGAUGGUGUCAUCCUUUUUAUUCGGGAAACCAAAGAAUUUGGGUUCUGGGGGGAGUAUGGUCGCAAGUCUGAAACUUAAAGGAAUUGACGGAAGGGCACCACCAGGAGUGGAGCCUGCSGCUUAAUUUGACUCAACACGGGGCAACUUACCAGGUCCGGACAUGAUCAUGAUUGACAGAUUGAUAGCUCUUUCUUGAUUUUGUGGGUGGUGGUGCAUGGCCGUUCUUAGUUGGUGGAGUGAUUUGUCUGGUUAAUUCCGUUAACGAACGAGACCUUUUCCUGCUAACUAGUUUACUUCUUAGAGGUACUAUUCGUUUUUCACGGAUGGAAGUUUUAGGCAAUAACAGGUCUGUGAUGCCCUUUGAUGUCCUGGGCUGCACGCGGGCUACACUGAUGCGAUCAAAUAGUUCUGAGAAGAGUAUGGCAAACUUUGAAAUUGCAUCGUGCUUGGGAUUGAAUACUGUAACUGUAUUUAUGAACGAGGAAUUCCUUGUAAACGCGAGUCAUCAACUUGCGUUGAUUACGUCCCUGCCCUU